UACAGAGGGUGCAAGCGUUAAUCGGAAUUACUGGGCGUAAAGGGUGCGUAGGUGGUUAAUUAAGUCAGAUGUGAAAUCCCCAGGCUUAACCUGGGAAUUGCGUUUGAAACUGAAUAACUAGAGUAUGGUAGAGGGAAGUGGAAUUUCCGGUGUAGCGGUGAAAUGCGUAGAUAUCGGAAGGAACAUCAGUGGCGAAGGCGACUUCCUGGACCAUUACUGACACUGAGGCACGAAAGCGUGGGUAGCAAACGGG
rnacentral:rRNA from 1 species